AGUACGAUCGCAAGAUUAAAACUCAAAGGAAUUGACGGGGCCCCGCACAAGCAGCGGAGCAUGCGGCUUAAUUCGACGCAACGCGAAGAACCUUACCAAGGCUUGACAUAUAGCGAAAAGUGGCAGAGAUGUCAUGUCCGCAAGGGCGCUAUACAGGUGGUGCAUGGUUGUCGUCAGCUCGUGUCGUGAGAUGUUGGGUUAAGUCCCGCAACGAGCGCAACCCUCGUUCUGUGUUACCAGCAUUCAGUUGGGGACUCACAGGAGACUGCCGGGGUCAACUCGGAGGAAGGUGGGGAUGACGUCAAAUCAUCAUGCCCCUUAUGUCUUGGGCUGCACGCAUGCUACAAUGGCCGGUACAAAGUGCUGCGAGAUCGUAAGAUUGAGCGAAUCACAUAAAGCCGGUCUCAGUUCGGAUUGAGGUCUGCAACUCGACCUCAUGAAGUCGGAGUUGCUAGUAAUCGUAGAUCGGCAACGCUACGGUGAAUACGUUCCCGGGGCUUGUACACACCGCCCGUCACGUCACGAAAGUCGGUAACACCCAAAGUUAGUGGCCCAACCGCAAGGGGGGAGCUACCUAAGGUGGGAUCGGUGAUUGGGACG
rnacentral:rRNA from 1 species